ACGCAGCACGCCGCGUGAGUGAGGAAGGUUUUCGGACCGUAAAGCUCUGUCGAGCGGGAAGAAAUGCAUAGUGGCUAAUAUCCAUUAUGCUUGACGGUACCGCUAAAGGAAGCACCGGCUAACUCCGUGCCAGCAGCCGCGGUAAUAA
rnacentral:rRNA from 1 species